rnacentral:rRNA from 1 species
UACAGGGGGUGCAAACGUUGCUCGGAAUCAUUGGGCGUAAAGCGCACGUAGGCGGUUCGUUAUGUCGGAUGUGAAAGCCCCUUGGCUUAACCGAGGAAGUGCAUCCGAAACUGGCGAGCUAGAGUACGAAAGAGGAUCGCGGAAUUCCCGGUGUAGAGGUGAAAAUUCGUAGAUAUCGGGAGGAACACCGGUGGCGAAGGCGGCGAUCUGGGUCGAUACUGACGCUGAGGUGCGAAAGCGUGGGGAGCAAACAGG